CUUCAAUUAUGUUCUCACUGUAAAUGCAUGUGGAAAUCAGGGGGUGCUCAUUUGGAUGUGCAUAAGAUAUCAAGAGUUUCCUUUCCUGCGCAUGACGUCAUAGCGGAGGGAAAGAAGAUUGUGUGUGUUUUUGACUAUUUAAGAGUUGCUGGAGAACGAUUGCUUAUUUCGAGUGCAAUUUCAUUUUUUUCAAAUAUAAUAUAUUUUCUUGCAAGGAAAUCAUAUUCUUAAAGACAUUGUAUGCUUUUUCAUAGCGUUUUUUCUUUGUAUGAAGGCGAUAUAAGCUAGAAUCAUUGGGAUCACGUAUAUCCAAAACUGACUUGAAUUUGUCAAAUCAUAGACCCACCUGGAUUCAAUUUAUAACAAAUG
rnacentral:lncRNA from 1 species